AACCCUGUUAUGAGGAGGGCUGUUGGGCUGCUAACUCGACUUAUAGCAAGGGUUGUUAAC
rnacentral:tRNA from 1 species